CCUACGGGAGGCAGCAGUGAGGAAUAUUGGUCAAUGGGCGGAAGCCUGAACCAGCCAAGUCGCGUGAGGGAAGACGGCCCUAUGUGUUGUAAACCUCUUUUAUAAGGGAACAAUGAAUGCGACUUGUAGCCUGAUGCCUGUACCUGAUGAAUAAGCAUCGGCUAACUCCGUGCCAGCAGCCGCGGUAAUACGGAGGAUUCGAGCGUUAUCCGGAUUUAUUGGGUUUAAAGGGAGCGUAGGUGGCCUGUUAAGUCAGUUGUGAAAGUCUGGGGCUCAACCGUAAGAUUGCAGUUGAAACUGGCAGUCUUGAGUACAGUAGAGGUGCGCGGAAUUCGUGGUGUAGCGGUGAAAUGCUUAGAUAUCGCGAAGAACUCCGAUUGCGAAGGCAGCUCACUGGAC
rnacentral:rRNA from 1 species